GUGUGAACAGAGACCGCUGUCAGUCGCAUGAGUUGUCAAUAUUAAUCAACAACAACAAACGUUUUUUUGUGUUUCUUGUUUGUUAUUAUUUGUGGACGACGACCAGCUCGGCGGGAGCUGCUCAUAAAAAAUCAAUAAAACACUUCGGUAAAACGAUUUUUGAAAGGCAGAACAAAAAUAAGGAUACUUUUUUGAACUGAGAGUCUCUGGCCCAACUAGGUUGACUGAUGUUUCUUUCUUUCCUGGAACCAGCAACGGAGACACUGUCUACCAACACCGAAAGGACUGCCGUCCUUAAUGGAUAUAUUCCCAACCGACACAACUUUCUAUGGAUGCUUCUAAUGCCGGCUAGGUGUGUGCCUCUAUCGGAGGAACCUAGUAGUUCUAAGAGCCAUGCAACCAGGUCAUCUAGAAUUUCAUUUAUGUCUGCUUCCGUGUGGCAUGGACGUUCCUGGUAUGCCGCGGACGGAAUAUUAUUUGGAUUAUGUCAUUGGCAAAGCUACCAUCAGAAACAGCACAACAUUGCAGUAUAGGAAAAGUACUAAUACAAUUUAAGUGAAUAAUGGAAUCAUGUACAAAUUAAACGUUUGCUAAUA